ACUGACAUAUGAUCUACAUGAUGCAGACUGAUGGAUCAUAUAUGCAAGCCUCAAAAUUUAUAUAUGCGCAAAAUACAUGAUAGGCUUUAGGGAUUUUCUUGUUUUUACUACAGAGGAUCAAAUAUUCAUGCGGAUGGUGCCUUGCAAAAAUGUUAGCAAUAUAUACAUACGAAAUUAUCAAGUUUCACUUGGAUAUACAUGUAAAAAAUAAAAUUGGUUGAUUAUCUAUAUAUGUGGGCACAAUAUAAUUAUAUUAUUUGAGUAACUGCUUUCUACUAGUUGUCAUCAUCUAUUUAUUUAUUUAUUUUUAGCCAUUGCUCUUGGAUGGAACAUGUGAUUUCUUGUGGCAGUAUGCAUGCUUCAAAUUAUUGCUAAGUGUAGAAAACAGGAGUAGCAGGUGUCUUCUCCAUCUCAUCUCCUCCAAUGCUCCAGCUAUAGCUAUCACCUCCUUUCUUCACCCGUCUCUCUUACUCCAAUUCCUAUGGAUACUUUCAAU
rnacentral:lncRNA from 1 species